rnacentral:rRNA from 1 species
UCGAAUCGCAUGGCCUUGCGCCGGCGAUGGUUCAUUCAAAUUUCUGCCCUAUCAACUUUCGAUGGUAGGAUAGUGGCCUACCAUGGUGGCGACGGGUAACGGGGAAUUAGGGUUCGAUUCCGGAGAGGGAGCCUGAGAAACGGCUACCACAUCCAAGGAAAGCAGCAGGCGCGCAAAUUACCCAAUCCCGAUACGGGGAGGUAGUGACAAUAAAUACUGGUACAGGGCUCUUUUGGGUCUUGUAAUUGGAAUGAGAACAAUCUAAAUCCCUUAACGAGGAACAAUUGGAGGGCAAGUCUGGUGCCAGCAGCCGCGGUAAUUCCAGCUCCAAUAGCGUAUAUUAAAGUUGUUGCAGUUAAAAAGCUCGUAGUUGAACCUUGGGCCCGUCCUGCCGGUCCGCCUCACCGCGAGUACUGGUCCGGAUGGGCCUUUCUUUCUGGGGAAUCCCAUGGCCUUCACUGGCUGUGGCGGGGAACCAGGACUUUUACUGUGAAAAAAUUAGAGUGUUCAAAGCAGGCCUUUGCUCGGAUACAUUAGCAUGGAAUAAUAGAAUAGGACGUGCGGUUCUAUUUUGUUGGUUUCUAGGACCGCCGUAAUGAUUAAUAGGGAUAGUCGGGGGCGUCAGUAUUCAGCUGUCAGAGGUGAAAUUCUUGGAUUUGCUGAAGACUAACUACUGCGAAAGCAUUCGCCAAGGAUGUUUUCAUUAAUCAGGGAACGAAAGUUAGGGGAUCGAAGACGAUCAGAUACCGUCGUAGUCUUAACCAUAAACUAUGCCGACUAGGGAUCGGGCGGGGUUUCUAUGAUGACCCGCUCGGCACCUUACGAGAAAUCAAAGUUUUUGGGUUCUGGGGGGAGUNUGGUCGCACGGCUGAAACUUAAAGAAAUUGACGGAAGGGCACCACAAGGCGUGGAGCCUGCGG